UACGUAGGGUGCGAGCGUUAAUCGGAAUUACUGGGCGUAAAGCGUGCGCUGGCGGUUCGUUGUGUCGGCGGUGAAAGCCCCGGGCUCAACCUGGGAAUGGCCGUUGAAACUGGCGAACUGGAGUGUGGCAGAGGGGGGUGGAAUUCCGCGUGUAGCAGUGAAAUGCGUAGAGAUCGGGAGGAAGGCCGGUGGCGAAGGCGGCGCUCUGGAACGUUUCUGACGCUGAGACACGAAAGCGUGGGGAGCAAACAGG
rnacentral:rRNA from 1 species